GUGAGGAAUAUUGCGCAAUGGAGGCAACUCUGACGCAGCCAUGCCGCGUGCAGGAAGAAGGCGCUACGCGUUGUAAACUGCUUUUAACCGGGAAGAAACCCCAGGACGUGUCCUGGGUUGACGGUACCGGAGGAAUAAGCACCGGCUAACUUCGUGCCAGCAGCCGCGGUAAUACGAAGGGUGCAAGCGUUAUCCGGAUUCAUUGGGUUUAAAGGGUGUGUAGGCGGAGCGUUAAGUCAGUGGUGAAAUCCUGCAGCUUAACUGUAGACUUGCCAUUGAUACUGGCGCUCUUGAGUGCGCUUGAAGUGGGCGGAAUGUGCCGUGUAGCGGUGAAAUGCUUAGAUAUGGCACAGAACACCAAUUGCGAAGGCAGCUCACUAAGGCGAUUCUGACGCUGAGGCACGAAAGCGUGGGGAUCGAACAGGAUUAGAUACCCGAGUAGUCC
rnacentral:rRNA from 1 species